UAGAGUUUGAUCCUGGCUCAGAUUGAACGCUGGCGGCAGGCUUAACACAUGCAAGUCGAACGGUAACAGGAAGCAGCUUGCUGCUUUGCUGACGAGUGGCGGACGGGUGAGUAAUGUCUGGGAAACUGCCUGAUGGAGGGGGAUAACUACUGGAAACGGUAGCUAAUACCGCAUAACGUCGCAAGACCAAAGUGGGGGACCUUCGGGCCUCAUGCCAUCAGAUGUGCCCAGAUGGGAUUAGCUAGUAGGUGGGGUAAUGGCUCACCUAGGCGACGAUCCCUAGCUGGUCUGAGAGGAUGACCAGCCACACUGGAACUGAGACACGGUCCAGACUCCUACGGGAGGCAGCAGUGGGGAAUAUCGCACAAUGGGCGCAAGCCUGAUGCAGCCAUGCCGCGUGUAUGAAGAAGGCCUUCGGGUUGUAAAGUACUUUCAGCGAGGAGGAAGGCAUUAAGGUUAAUAACCUUAGUGAUUGACGUUACUCGCAGAAGAAGCACCGGCUAACUCCGUGCCAGCAGCCGCGGUAAUACGGAGGGUGCAAGCGUUAAUCGGAAUUACUGGGCGUAAAGCGCACGCAGGCGGUCUGUUAAGUCAGAUGUGAAAUCCCCGGGCUCAACCUGGGAACUGCAUUUGAAACUGGCAGGCUUGAGUCUCGUAGAGGGGGGGUAGAAUUCCAGGUGUAGCGGUGAAAUGCCGUAGAGAUCUGGAGGAAUACCGGGUGGGCGAAAGGCGGGCCCCCUGGACGAGACUGACGCUCAGUGCGAAAGGCGUGGGGGAGCAACAGGAUUAGAUACCCUGGUAGUCCACGCCGUAA
rnacentral:rRNA from 1 species